rnacentral:rRNA from 1 species
UACGAGGGGGGGCAAGCGUUGUUCGGAAUUAUUGGGCGUAAAGGGCGCGUAGGCGGCGUGGUAAGUCACUUGUGAAAUCUCUGAGCUUAACUCAGAACGGCCAAGUGAUACUGCUGUGCUAGAGUGCAGAAGGGGCAAUCGGAAUUCUUGGUGUAGCGGUGAAAUGCGUAGAUAUCAAGAGGAACACCUGAGGUGAAGACGGGUUGCUGGGCUGACACGUGACGCUGAGGGACGAAGCGUGGGGAGCAAACGGG